rnacentral:rRNA from 1 species
UAUGUGAUCGUCUCUCGCAUAUCAAUAAGCGGAGGAAAAGAAACUAUCAAGGAUUCCCCUAGUAACGGCGAGUGAAGCGGGAAGAGCUCAAAUUUGAAAUCUUAAAGGGUUUCCCUUUACGAAUUGUAGUUUAAAGAAGUGUUUUCUGUUGAGGUUUUGGUAAAAGUUCUUUGGAAUAGGACAUCAUAGAGGGUGAGAAUCCCGUAUUUGACCUUUACUUUCAACUUUGUGAUACACUUUCAAAGAGUCGGAUUGUUUGGGAAUGCAGUCCAAAAUGGGUGGUAAAUUUCAUCUAAAGCUAAAUAUUGGCGAGAGACCGAUAGCGAACAAGUACCGUGAGGGAAAGAUGAAAAGAACUUUGAAAAGAGAGUUAAACAGUACGUGAAAUUGUCAAAAGGGAAGCGUUUGACACCAGUGUUGUUUUUCUGAAAAUCAAUUAAAGAACUGUUUAUGCUAAGCUGUUUAGACUUUAUCGGCUAACUGUUUAGUUUUAGGCUUUUCUUUAAUGCACUUUUCAGUUAACAAGUCAACAUCAAUUUCUUUUGCUGUAAAAAAGCUUGAGGAAGGUGGCUUGAGAUUCGUCUUAAGUGUUUAUAGCCUCUUGCCUAUGCAGUCGGAGAGAUUGAGGUCUGCAGCGUAGAUCCUUCGGGGCUAAAUGCAUUUGUGCUAAGUUAUAGCAUUUUAUAGACAACUUGUUGACUAUGAUUUGUCUUGUAGCUUACUCGCUUAUGUUAUUUUACCUACGCUUAGGAUGUUGAUCUACAGAGCGAGAGU